rnacentral:rRNA from 1 species
AUUGAACGCUGGCGGCAUGCUUUACACAUGCAAGUCGAACGGCAGCGCGGGCUUCGGCCUGGCGGCGAGUGGCGAACGGGUGAGUAAUACAUCGGAACGUGCCCAGUAGUGGGGGAUAGCUCGGCGAAAGCCGGAUUAAUACCGCAUACGACCUGAGGGUGAAAGCGGGGGAUCUUCGGACCUCGCGCUGUUGGAGCGGCCGAUGGCAGAUUAGCUAGUUGGUGGGGUAAAGGCCUACCAAGGCGACGAUCUGUAGCUGGUCUGAGAGGACGACCAGCCACACUGGGACUGAGACACGGCCCAGACUCCUACGGGAGGCAGCAGUGGGGAAUUUUGGACAAUGGGCGAAAGCCUGAUCCAGCAAUGCCGCGUGUGUGAUGAAGGCCUUCGGGUUGUAAAGCACUUUUGGCGGGAACGAAAAGGACUGUGCCAAUACCACGGUUCGAUGACGGUACCCGAAGAAUAAGCACCGGCUAACUACGUG